rnacentral:rRNA from 1 species
ACGAAAGUCUGACGGAGCAACGCCGCGUGAGUGAAGAAGGUUUUCGGAUCGUAAAGCUCUGUUUUUAGGGACGAAUGGUAGAUAUUCAAAUAGAGUAUGUACAUGACGGUACCUAAAGAGGAAGCCACGGCUAACUACGUGCCAGCAGCCGCGGUAAUACGUAGGUGGCAAGCGUUGUCCGGAAUUAUUGGGCGUAAAGGGCGUGUAGGCGGGAUAAUAAGUCUGUUGUAAAAGUGCGGGGCUCAACCCCGUAAGGUCAAUGGAAACUGUUAUUCUUGAGUGCAGGAGAGGAAAGUGGAAUUCCCAGUGUAGCGGUGAAAUGCGUAGAUAUUGGGAGGAACACCAGUGGCGAAGGCGACUUUCUGGACUGUGUCUGACGCUGAGGCGCGAAAGCCAGGGGAGCGAACGGGAUUAGAUACCCCGGUAGUCCUGGCCGUAAACGAUGGGUACUAGGUGUAGAGGGUAUCGACCCCUUCUGUGCCGGAGUUAACGCAAUAAGUACCCCGCCUGGGGAGUACGGCCGC